rnacentral:rRNA from 1 species
AUGUCUUCCGCAAGCUCCCGCGCCACCUCGCGGAUGCAGAGCCGGGCGCGUGUGGAGAUGUCUGUCUUCGUCUGUCCGCGCUGCCGGGCAAGCGUUGAUCGGAGGGUUUCUCACACACCGAGGAACCACAAUCGUCCGUUCUACGUGCGCAGCGAGAAUGGGGUGACAUGCUUCUUUCUUUGGGUCGAUGCUCUGGCCAAGACUCUGAUAAAUUAACUGCAAGAAGAGCAUGGCGAAUGGUUGCGCAUGCUGCCCCAAACCGCAGUGGCCGCAGCACGAGCUCCGGAAGAAGAGAUGGAGGGUCAAGCACGCACUGACAGAGAGCUAGUUGUUGAGCUUAGGAUGUUGAAGAAGAAGGUUAGGAAGCUUGAAGAUCAAGCACUACCAAUAUUGCAAAUACUUUUGGCAUUUGUAGGUAUGGUAAUCGCACUAGUUGUAAUGUUGAAAAUGUAUGGAAAGGCAUGA